rnacentral:rRNA from 1 species
ACUACGGGAGGCAGCAGUGAGGAAUAUUGGUCAAUGGGCGCGAGCCUGAACCAGCCAAGUAGCGUGAAGGAUGACUGCCCUACGGGUUGUAAACUUCUUUUAUAAAGGAAUAAAGUGAGGCACGUGUGCCUUUUUGUAUGUACUUUAUGAAUAAGGAUCGGCUAACUCCGUGCCAGCAGCCGCGGUAAUACGGAGGAUCCGAGCGUUAUCCGGAUUUAUUGGGUUUAAAGGGAGCGUAGAUGGGUUGUUAAGUCAGUUGUGAAAGUUUGCGGCUCAACCGGAAAAGUGCAAUUGAUACUGGCAGUCUUGAGUACAGUUGAGGUAGGCGGAAUUCGUGGUGUAGCGGUGAAAUGCGUAGAUAUCACGAAGAACCCCGAUUGCGAAGGCAGCUUACUAAACUGUGACUGACAUUGAUGCUCGAAAGUGUGGGUAUCAAACAGGAUUAGAUACCCCUGUAGUC